AUAUCUUUCCUUCCAAAUCGCACAUCUCCCCCCUUAAUUCGCCAUAGUGGUUGCUCCAUCACUUUACCAAAAAAUUCCGUGAUUGCUGUGAAUGGAAGCUUCUGGUAACGCAGGUAUAUUCGAAUUGAUGGUUUAUGGAGUUCUCAAGAGGCACAACCGAGAAGAGAAGAGAAUGGUUUCGAUUACCCAACCGUUCAAGUUUGUGUCUUCCAGAAUACACCCAUUUCAAAAACUCACCCCCAAAACUGACUCAUUCAAAACGUACUACUCGGAUGGCGUGACUGGAUGAUGGCCUUAAGGUUUCUGAUGGUUUUGAAUGCUUCACAGGCUUACAACUACUCAGGUUCACGCCCUCGUGCAUUUACAUCUCAGAAUUUCUUUUGUGUUCCAUAUUUAUCAAGCUUAAAACACACACAUUGAACAUCAUGAUAAAAAUACUAAAGUUGGGAAACUUAUGCUAAAAAUCUUCAUGAAUUUUGCCAGCACAUAUGAAAAGAUGGCAAUGGGGAUUUAGUAGUUAUGAAGAUCAAGAGAAAACUAUGCGGUUUAUAUACAUUCUAUAUGGUGUUGCAUCCAUACGAAGCUUUGUUCUUGAUGGGAUGGAGUAGUUUUUUUUUUUUUUUUUCAUUUGGGAUAUAGAAAGUUUGGAAA